rnacentral:rRNA from 1 species
UACCAGCUCCUCGAGUGGUCGGGACGAUUAUUGGGCCUAAAGCACCCGUAGCCGGUUCCGUAAGUCCUCUGUUAAAUCCAGUCGCUCAACGGCUGGUCUGCAGAGGAUACUGCGGGACUAGGAGGCGGGAGAGGCGGACGGUACUCCGCGUGUAGGGGUAAAAUCCUUUGAUCCGCGGAAGACCACCAGUGGCGAAGGCGGUCCGCCAGAACGCGCUCGACGGUGAGGGGUGAAAGCUGGGGGAGCGAAC